GGGACGGUGGUGGAAUUGGUAGACACACCAGACUUAAAAUCUGUUGAUUGUAAAGAUCGUGCGGGUUCAAGUCCCGCUCGUCCUA
rfam:Synechococcus phage S-RSM4 complete genome